rnacentral:tRNA from 1 species
GGAGGGAUGGCCGAGUGGCUUAAGGCGCACGCCUGGAAAGCGUGUUUACCCGAGAGGGUAUCGUGGGUUCGAAUCCCACUUCCUCCG